AGAUACUCUGCAUAAUUGGUGAUUUCUGAUUGCCUCACUGAAAGUCUCGUCUUGAUCCUGGCGAUAAUCACUGCCUGAUGAGAACAUUUCACUCUCCAGCAUGUGUAGUCAUAAUUAUUUUAGAUUCCUAUGUAAAGUUAAUCAACCCUGAAGGGGGACUCCCUGUCUGUCGCUGUAGAGGUAACAGCUAACGUCUCUGCUAUUUGAUUUCAUUUGAUCUCUGUUGAAGGAGAAAUCAUCUUCUGUUUACAAAACUAGCCUACAAAAUUGGACCUAUUACAUAAGGAGAAUCUGCAUCUCUGGCAGAUGUCUACACCUGGUUAUUAAUGUGUGCUGAGUAGCAUCCUCGUGGAAGAACAGUUCCUCUGAUUGAAAGAAGUCUGCCCCAGGGUCUUCUAUAAUGGAGAUUAGAAAUGGAUGACUAUCAGUACCUCUCCAUCAACAUUUAAGGGCUUGUAAGGAAACCUGUGAUUUGAACAUUAAUAAGCUCGCAGUCAGUGCAGCUGCUCAGGAUCUGAUACUAUUCCGUGAAACCGAUAAAUACAGUAAUGGAGAUAUUAUCAAGCUCCUGUCAGCUAUCACAAGCCCUGCAUUGAUGACACUAGGAAUAGAAAUAAGGUCAAGAUAACUGCAAAGUCUUUCAUACGACACGGUAUGGUUCCAGGUCAGGGGCCAUGCUCAGUGGACAGCGUGCUCACCCUGUAAGUGUACUGGCUGGAGCUCCGAUCCCUGGCUUGUGUAUAAAAGCUAAGCAUGGCAUGUACCCCUGUAAUCUAAGCACUGGGGAAGGGAGGUCUCUGGGCUUGUUGGCCAGGCAGUCCAGACCAUCAGUGGACUCCAGGUUCAGUGACACUCCCAGCCUCAAAACCUAAGGUAGAGAUCGAGAAUGACUCUCAGCGUCUACCCUCUGUGCACAUGUGUGCACAUGUAUGCAGGCGCAUGCGCGCGCGCACACACACACACACACACACAAACACACACACACACAAAAGCACACACCUCUCCAAAUUAGCAAACUGUACCUAAUGCUGAAACGUAAGUAAUUAUUAUUCCAAGAGACAAGAAAUGAUUAUCAGAAUUUUAUUGACCACUGAUUUUUAAGAACACAAUUUGGCUUUUAAACCUUGUUAUGAUGUUAUGUUCAUUACAUUGUAGUUGUAGUCACAAGCAAAGCAAUUUGGAAAGCAUCUUCGCAUUUCUGCAUGAACUGGUAGCAUUAUAUUUAGUAGCUCUGUGGUACUUAUUUGUUAGUAAACUGCCCUGUGCCCUGCUUACCAUAACAGGGUGGGCCUGAUAGAACUAUGAAUAUUGUGACCUGCUUAGAAUACUUCCUGAAAUUUAGUUAAUUUCUAGAAAUGUGUUAUUUGAUUUUCCUACAGCUCAGUUAAUGGAGUAGCCCCACGCAAAUGGCAAAAAUUAGACAGGCCAGCAGGACACAAGCAAUAAGAAUUAGCCUCAGCCUUGGGAAGACUGAGCCUGGCUCCUACUGUUGCCUCAGAAGAGGUCAGCUAAGCAGGGAAUCACAGCCACAGGGCAGAGGGUCCUUUCCGGGUUGUUCUUUCCUCCCUUGUCAUAAAAAUUCUCUCUGUAAAAUUGAACUUUGUGGGUUUUAGACCGUUUCUACCACAACAAUUCUGCCAGAUCAUGAUGUGAUUCUGAUGUAUCUAUAAUCGAAGACAUAGCUUUUAUUUAUUUAUUUAUUUAUUUAUUUAUUUAUUUAUUUAUUUAUCUGUUUAUUUAUUUAUUUUUGUCACCCAUCUAUUUGAUUAGAAAUGCAUUGUUUUUAACUAGUAUUACAGGAGUGGACCUUGCUGCAGAAGAUUCCUCACACAGAGCUUCUUCUGGAUUGACAAUCAUAGUAGUAGACUCUGAUGCUGAGAAAACAAAAUUUGACCUUUAGUCAUGUAGUCUAAAUAGUAUCCCUAAACAAAACAAAACAACAACAACAACAACAACAACAACAACAAACCCUACAGAGCUUUGCAUUGCUUUGAAUAAAUGAUAAAAUAAAUCUAGUGUGAUGUAUUAAAGAAAAAGUCAAAUAUGUAGCCAU
ensembl:lincRNA Gm13497 predicted gene 13497